rnacentral:misc_RNA from 1 species
AAGACUAUAGACCUGCGGAGUACCUGCGGAGGGAUCAUUACCGAGUUAUUACUCCAAACCCUUUGUGAACCUUACCAUUGUUCUGUUGCCUCGGCGGGUGCCGGCCCCUAAAGCCGCGCCCGCCGGCAGCACUAAACUCUUGAACUUUAUAGCGGAUUACACUUCUGAAUAAAAUACAAAACAAAUCAAAACUUUCAGCAACGGAUCUCU